UCAUCUCACAGUCUACAUCUGGGAAACUCAAACUCUGACAGUUGGAAGAUUUGGAGGAAUCUAAAGAGAAGGACAAAAACUGACUAAUGUUUUAAAAAUAUCACUGCGGCUGCUGUAUGAAGAAUGUUAGUAGGGCUGGGGGAGGCCAGAAAAGAAGAGACAAAGGCAGAAGGCUGUUUCAGUAAUCUGGACUAGAUAGCAAGCUAUAUGUUACCUGAAGUUCUCCAAGAGAUUGGUAAUGUAAAUCUGGCAGUGGAGAACCACCUUCCGAAAUGCAUUCUCUGAAGAUGCUGAAUAAAAAUAGGAAAAAAAAAUAGAAGUACCAACCAGAGAAAGCUAAAUAUGCACUCCUACCCAAACACAGAGGAUGCACCUACAGCUUGCCUACAGCUUCUCCAUGCCAACAGCCUCCAAUUAGGGCAUAAUUGAAGGCUUCCCUCUUUUCCACCAUAAAGCUUUCCCAUUCCUCUGUCUGCCUUUGAGAUUCUGUCAAAACGCAAGUGAUUAUGGUUGACUCUCUUGCUAGAACAAGCUCUGAAUAAAUAA